CUACCGGUACUCGCAAUGCANACNAGAGUUUAAUUUGAUCAUGGCUCAGAUUGCCACGCUGGUUGCAGGCCUAACACAUGCAAGUCGAGCGGAUGACGGGAGCUUGCUCCUUGAUUCAGCGGCGGACGGGUGAGUAAUGCCUAGGAAUCUGCCUGGUAGUGGGGGACAACGUUUCGAAAGGAACGCUAAUACCGCAUACGUCCUACGGGAGAAAGCAGGGGACCUUCGGGCCUUGCGCUAUCAGAUGAGCCUAGGUCGGAUUAGCUAGUUGGUGAGGUAAUGGCUCACCAAGGCGACGAUCCGUAACUGGUCUGAGAGGAUGAUCAGUCACACUGGAACUGAGACACGGUCCAGACUCCUACGGGAGGCAGCAGUGGGGAAUAUUGGACAAUGGGCGAAAGCCUGAUCCAGCCAUGCCGCGUGUGUGAAGAAGGUCUUCGGAUUGUAAAGCACUUUAAGUUGGGAGGAAGGGCAGUAAGUUAAUACCUUGCUGUUUUGACGUUACCGACAGAAUAAGCACCGGCUAACUCUGUGCCAGCAGCCGCGGUAAUACAGAGGGUGCAAGCGUUAAUCGGAAUUACUGGGCGUAAAGCGCGCGUAGGUGGUUUGUUAAAGUUGGAUGUGAAAGCCCCGGGCUCAACUGGGGAAACUGGNAUUCCAAAAACUGGCAAGCUAGAAUACCGGAACAGGGUGGUGGGAAUUCUGUGUUACGG
rnacentral:rRNA from 1 species